UACGUAGGGUGCGAGCGUUGUCCGGAAUUAUUGGGCGUAAAGAGCUUGUAGGCGGUUUGUCGCGUCUGCUGUGAAAUCUCAAGGCUCAACCUUGAGCUUGCAGUGGGUACGGGCAGACUAGAGUGCGGUAGGGGAGACUGGAAUUCCUGGUGUAGCGGUGAAAUGCGCAGAUAUCAGGAGGAACACCGGUGGCGAAGGCGGGUCUCUGGGCCGAUACUGACGCUGGAGGAGCGAAAGCGUGGGGAGCGAACAGG
rnacentral:rRNA from 1 species